rnacentral:lncRNA from 1 species
UUCGUACCUUUGGCAAUAUACCAAAGUGUUGUGUUGCUUAUUUCAAUGCUAUGGGAUUGUUUUGAAGGUCAAAUAAGGAAUAUAGUUAAAAGUAUUUUGUAAAUUAUAGAUUUCCAUAUACAUGUAUUAAUCAUUUAUUAUUUUUUUAUUGCAAUCCUGUUUCUCCCUGAUAUGCUCUGAGUUGCUCCUGAAAUGAAGUUUAGUGACAAAUGACCUAUUUCUGUUCUGCUUCAGCUUCAUCUCAGCCACAGCUAUUAGGAGGGCAAAGGGUGCAAGUUCCUAACCCGGUGGGAUUCCCUGGGACAUGGCCUCUUCCUGGUUCCCCUCUACCCAUGGCAUGCCCAGGCAUCAUGCGACCUGGCUCUACCUCCCUGCCUGAGACUCCUAGACUGUUCCCUCUGCUUCCUCUGAGACCACUAGGUCCCGGCCGCAUGGUCUCCCACACCCCAGCCCCUCCUGCAAGCUUCCCUGUGCCAUACCUUCCAGGGGACCCAGGUGCCCCAUGCUCUAGUGUCCUCCCAACCACUGGCAUCUUGACUCCUCACCCAGGUCAGUCUUCCUUCCAUGGAUCCCUCUUCUGGGUUAUUGCCUCCCCUGCUCCUCUCACUACUUUGGGAGUCUUUCCUCAAGUCAGAGGGCUAGGGCCCUGUUGGGUGGAGGGUGGCUGGGAGUGUAGAUGGUCUGCAGAGGGAGGUAUGGUGAACUCCAACUCAAAGAAUGCUUCCAGCCUUCAGAUAAAAAACUUCCAGUGUUUUUCACUAUGCGCCGAAAAACCUCUAUCUUUUUAUUCUAUAGGACCUCAAGAUUCCUGGAAAGAAGCCCCAGCCCCCAGGGGAAACCUCCAGAGGAACAAGGUCAAUGCAUCUUUCCCUACCCACUCCCUCGCACAUUCACCAAUGACCACGUUCUAAUUCCUUGGAGGAUUCAGUCAGUCCUUCCCCUUCUCAGACUGUCCCCGCCCUCCUCCCACUUACUCUUCUUUCCUCAGAACCCUCUUCUUUCUCUUUCCCUCUUACACACAUACACCAGUCUCCUCACUUCCCAGUUUCCCACACUCACUCUUCUGUCUCCUUGUUCACUGUCAUUCCUGCCACUCCCCAAAACCAGAGCCAUGGAGUCUCUCAGGUUAGACUCAUGUCUUUCCUUCUGUCUCUUUAGCUGCCAGAGACAUUUAUGCCCCCAGCACCAAUUACUGCUCCAGUUAUGAGCCUCACCCCUGAGCUACAAGGGAUUCUUCCCUCACAGCCCCCUGUCUCCAGUGUGAGUCAUGCUCCCCCAGGAGUUCCAGGAGAACUCAGCCUGCAGGUGACAAGGACAAUGUAUUCCCCUCCCUUGGGAAACCUUCCAGCCCUCCUUGGGUGCAGGUCAUGGUAGAUGGGCCUCAUUCCUCAAGGCAUGUGCUGAGGGAGACUGGGGGCAGGUACCAGGUGUCCUUACUGCAGAGAAAGGGAGGCUGCUCAUCUCCCCAACUCUGCUGUAAUGGGAACAGUGUGACUGUGAGUCACUGGGGACUAGUCCUUAGGGAAGCCAUGAGAAGGACAGCUUGCCCCUCUGGCCUUUCUCCCUGCUUCUUUAUCAGCAGCUUCAGCACCUGCCACCUGAGAAGAUGGAAAGGAAGGAGCUGCCCCCAGAGCAUCAGUCCUUGAAGAGCAGCUUUGAGGCGCUUCUCCAACGCUGCUCCCUGUCUGCAACUGACUUAAAGACAAAAAGGAAGCUGGAAGAGGCAGCCCAGCGUCUGGAGUAUCUAUAUGAGAAGCUCUGUGAGGGGACACUCUCACCUCAUGUCGUGGCUGGGCUCCAUGAGGUUGCCCGAUGUGUGGAUGCAGGAAGCUUUGAGCAGGGCCUUGCAGUGCAUGCCCAGGUGGCGGGCUGUAGCAGCUUCAGCGAGGUGUCCAGCUUCAUGCCUAUCCUGAAGGCUGUCCUCAUCAUCGCUCAUAAGCUGCUGGUCUAAACCAGGCAGCCUCUCUUGCUAGGAGGCCACUUCUGCUGUUACAUAACUCCUCCCUGCAGAAGAGGGGACUUCUGCAACAGAUUCUGUUUCUUUUUCCCGACUCUUUUCCUUGCUGCCAGGUAUGUGAUGCUGUAGGCUUGGCUCCAAACCAGCUGAGUGCCUGCUUUUUACUCCUUUAUGUCUGGCCUUCUAGGAUCUGUCCAAGACACUCUCAGGCCUGGAGGCAGGGCAUAGAAUCAGUUCUUCACUCUCCCUAAUACUACACUCUGUAAGGACCUGGGGCAGGAUAUCUUCUCCCCCAGGGAUCUUCUAUUUAAGUGGCUUCUGAGAGGGUGAACAGGAUUGUUACUUUUAAGCCUACCUCUGCUGUGACCCAUCAUGUGGGUCUUUUGUUUCUCCCUUCUGUGGUUUAUGAGCCUGCCCUUACCUUUUCCCUGCCUCUGACUUGGUAUUUCCAGGUCCGUAUUUCUCUGUAGCCCAGGGUCUGGGGUAGAGCUGACUGCUGUUCACCCUUUGAACAACUCAUGGACGUGAGGGAUGGGUGCUGAGCAGAACCAAGAGAGGAAACUUUGGCGCUGUUAAAAUGGAAUUUCUCAUCUGCCGGCAUUAUUAAGGGUGGGCUAGGUUGGAUGGAAGGUGAAAGGGAUGAACUGCCUUUUGCUGGAAGCUGUCUUAGGCUGUGAGACAGGAGCAGGGGAACCACAGCCUAUGGGGAACUGCCCUUGACUCCACCUAUGUUGGAGCCUUAGCCCAAGGCCAUUCCUUCUGUGAUGAUAAAGCCCAGUUCUGGAAUUGGAGCCAUAUUAAGGAAUGAUUCUCUUCCAGCGCUGCUCCUCAAGGGUUGGGGGUCCUUCUCCCUCGCAGCCACCACAUGUCUCAGGGCUACCUUCUCCGAUUGGAUUUGCAUUUGUGGCACUGUCUUUGAUGCAGUGAUGUACUUAAUGGUGCAAUAAAGCUGCUUCGAUUUGG